AUGAGAUGGUGUAUGAGGGUGGUCAAGUUGUGAAGGUUGAAUCAGUAGAUAUUGACUACUUAUCUUAUUUCAGCUUGUGGGAUUAUUUUGGGAAAGAACAGAGCAUCCUGAUAUUCAAUCCAACCUGUUCCUAGCCAAGAUAGUAACAUUCAAUCCAACCUGUUCCUAGCCAAGAUAGUUGGGAAAGAACAGAGCAUCCUGAUAUUCAUCCAUGGACUGUGAAGAAGCCCCCUGGUAGGCCUAGAAGAAAAAGAACGAAGAAACCAGAUGAGCCAAAAAAUCCUUACAAGGUUUCCAGGGCAGGUAAGAGUGUGGUGUGUGGCAAUUGUCAUCAAAUUGGGCAUAAUAUACAAGGAUGUAAAGCAUCUGUCACUGGAGAGAGUGCAUGGCAAAAGAGAGUUAGAAUUCAGAAAGCAAAGGCAAGUGGAACUUAUGUUCCAAGCGAGAACCCACCAAAUAAGGGAGGGAGACCAAGGAAGAGAAAAAACACAACAGAAGUAUGUAACUCACAUGUUGGUUUACAGGCUAAUUCUACUGCGAGUACACAAGAUGAUGUAAUUCAUAGCCAAACAACCAUUGAACAAGCUAGUUUGGCAAGACAAGCUAGGAAUGAUGUGUCACUGCCAAGCAGAGUAUCAACCUUGCAAGCACCUACC